GAAGGGUCCGCAUGGGAUGUAACCAACGACUCUCUGAACGAGUCUCCCGAAGUCUUUACGCAUCAGGUGCUGGCUGAGGACGCAGUGGAACGAUUACACUUGCAGGGGAGGAAGGUGGGGAGGUGCGCGUUGUCGACAUGCAUCCUGACUGAGCUGGCAGCAAAACUGCAAAUGGGGGAUGAAAUAGCUGGUUUCCGAACCAGGGAUCCGGGCGGCAUUGGUAAAAAAUGAAACGAGAGGGAAUUGCCAUUUUUCUUUUAUUUCUACCCGAAAGAAAACGUGCUGAUGUGCUUUUACUGGUGCGGCUUAUAUUACUCUCAGUAAUUCCAAUUUUAAUUUUGUGAUUUUGACUAAUGCCUUAGUAUACGGUCAUAUUGAGACCUUCUAAGUAUGUAUUUAUAUUUACAUGUAUUUCAUGUACUGUUAUUUUGAAACUUGUCUAAUGAUUUGUACAUAUUGUGUUUGUUUUAAUUAAUGUACAUUAGACACAAGCUUUGAAGCCAACACUGGUGCUGCAG